AUUGAACGCUGGCGGCAGGCCUAACACAUGCAAGUCGAGCGAGUGGCGGACGGGUGAGUAAUGUAUGGGGAACUGCCCGAUAGAGGGGGAUAACUACUGGAAACGGUAGCUAAUACCGCAUACUAUCGGAUGAACCCAUAUGGGAUUAGCUAGUAGGGGGGGUAAAGGCUCACCUAGGCGACGAUCUCUAGCUGGUCUGAGAGGAUGACCAGCCACACUGGGACUGAGACACGGUCCAGACUCCUACGGGAGGCAGCAGUGGGGAAUAUUGCACAAUGGGCGCAAGCCUGAUGCAGCCAUGCCGCGUGUAUGAAGAAGGCCUUCGGGUUGUAAAGUACUUUCAGCGGGGAGGCGUUACCCGCAGAAGAAGCACCGGCUAACUCCGUGCCAGCAGCCGCGGUAAUAC
rnacentral:rRNA from 1 species